rnacentral:rRNA from 1 species
ACACCGGCAGCUCUAGUGGUAGCUGUUUUUAUUGGGCCUAAAGCGUUCGUAGCCGGUUUGGUCAGUCGCUGGUGAAAUCCUGUAGCUUAACUGUGGGAAUUGCUGGUGAUACUGUUGACCUUGAGGUCGGGAGAGGUUAGAGGUACUCCCAGGGUAGAGGUGAAAUUCUGUAAUCCUGGGAGGACCACCUGUGGCGAAGGGGGCUAACUGGGACGAACCUGACGGUGAAGGACGAAAGCUAGGGGCGCGAACCGGAUUAGAUACCCGGGUGGUCCUAACCGUAAACGAUGCGGACUUGGUGUUGGGAUGGCUUUGAGCCGCUUCGUUGCCGAAGGGAAGCUGUUAAGUCCGCCGCCUGGGAAGUACGGUCGAAAGACUGAAACUCAAAUGAAUUGGCGGG